GCAGUGGGGAAUUUUCCGCAAUGGACGAAAGUCUGACGGAGCGACGCUGCGUGAAGGAUGACGGCCUGCGGGUUGUAAACUUCUUUUCUCGAAGAAGAAGCUCUGACGGUAUUCGAGGAAUAAGCAUCGGCUAACUCCGUGCCAGCAGCCGCGGUAAUACGGAGGAUGCAAGUGUUAUUCGGAAUGAUUGGGCGUAAAGCGUCUGUAGGCUGUAUAGAAAGUCUUUUGUUAAAUGCCUCGGCUCAACCGAGAUCCAGCAAAGGAAACUUCUAUACUUGAGGGAAGUAGAGGUACAGGGAAUUCCCGGUGGAGCGGUGAAAUGCGUAGAUAUCGGGAGGAACACCAAUAUGGCGAAGGCACUGUACUGGGCUUUACCUGACGCUCAGAGACGAAAGCUAAAGGAGUGAUUAGGAUUAGAUACCCUAGUAAUUUUAGCCGUAAACGAUGGAAACUCACUGCCGAGCGAAAUACAACGAGCGGUGGUCAAGCUAACGCGUGAAGUUUCCCGCCUGGGGAUUACGCUUGCAAAAGUGAAACUCAAAGGAAUUGACGG
rnacentral:rRNA from 1 species